UACAGAGGGUGCGAGCGUUAAUCGGAAUUACUGGGCGUAAAGUGCGCGUAGGCGGCUUUUCAAGUCGAUUGUGAAAUCCCCGGGCUUAACCUGGGAACUGCAGUCGAGACUGUCUAGCUAGAGUAUGGGAGAGGGAAGUGGAAUUUCAGGUGUAGCGGUGAAAUGCGUAGAUAUCUGAAGGAACAUCAGUGGCGAAAGCGACUCCUGGACCAAUACUGACGCUCAUGUGCGAAAGCGUGGGGAGC
rnacentral:rRNA from 1 species